GAUGAACGCUGGCGGCGUGCCUAAUACAUGCAAGUCGAGCGAACGGACGAGAAGCUUGCUUCUCUGAUGUUAGCGGCGGACGGGUGAGUAACACGUGGAUAACCGACCUAUAAGACUGGGAUAACUUCGGGAAACCGUAGCUAAUACCGGAUAAUAUUUUGAACCGCAUGGUUCAAAAGUGAAAGACGGUCUUGCUGUCACUUAUAGAUGGAUCCGCGCUGCAUUAGCUAGUUGGUAAGGUAACGGCUUACCAAGGCAACGAUGCAUAGCCGACCUGAGAGGGUGAUCGGCCACACUGGAACUGAGACACGGUCCAGACUCCUACGGGAGGCAGCAGUAGGGAAUCUUCCGCAAUGGGCGAAAGCCUGACGGAGCCACGCCGCGUGAGUGAUGAAGGUCUUCGGAUCGUAAAACUCUGUUAUUAGGGAAGAACAUAUGUGUAAGUAACUGUGCACAUCUUGACGGUACCUAAUCAGAAAGCCACGGCUAACUACGUG
rnacentral:rRNA from 1 species